AGUGAACGCUGGCGGUAGGCCUAACACAUGCCAGUCGAACGGCAGCACAGUAAGAGCUUGCUCUUACGGGUGGCGAGUGGCGGACGGGUGAGGAAUACAUCGGAAUCUACUUUUUCGUGGGGGAUAACGUAGGGAAACUUACGCUAAUACCGCAUACGACCUACGGGUGAAAGCAGGGGAUCUUCGGACCUUGCGCGAUUGAAUGAGCCGAUGUCGGAUUAGCUAGUUGGCGGGGUAAAGGCCCACCAAGGCGACGAUCCGUAGCUGGUCUGAGAGGAUGAUCAGCCACACUGGAACUGAGACACGGUCCAGACUCCUACGGGAGGCAGCAGUGGGGAAUAUUGGACAAUGGGCGCAAGCCUGAUCUAGCCAUACCGCGUGGGUGAAGAAGGCCUUCGGGUUGUAAAGCCCUUUUGUUGGGAAAGAAAAGCAGCAGGUUAAUACCCCGCUGUUCUGACGGUACCCAAAGAAUAAGCACCGGCUAACUUCGUG
rnacentral:rRNA from 1 species